UACGUAGGGGGCAAGCGUUGUCCGGAUUUAUUGGGCGUAAAGAGCGUGUAGGCGGCCAGACAGGUCCGUUGUGAAAACUCGAGGCUCAACCUCGAGAUGUCGAUGGAAACCGUCUGGCUAGAGUCCGGAAGAGGAGUGUGGAAUUCCUGGUGUAGCGGUGAAAUGCGCAGAUAUCAGGAAGAACACCUAUGGCGAAGGCAGCACUCUGGGACGGUACUGACGCUGAGAAGCGAAAGCGUGGGGAGCGAACAGG
rnacentral:rRNA from 1 species